UACGUAGGGGGCAAGCGUUAUCCGGAUUCAUUGGGCGUAAAGAGCGCGUAGGCGGCUUGUUAAGUCAGAUGUGAAAACCGGGGGCUCAACCCGCGGCUUGCAUCUGAAACUGGCAGGCUUGAGUCUGGUAGAGGAAAGUGGAAUUCCCAGUGUAGCGGUGAAAUGCGCAGAUAUUGGGAGGAACACCAGUGGCGAAGGCGGCUUUCUGGGCCACGACUGACGCUGAGGCGCGAAAGCUAGGGGAGCAAAC
rnacentral:rRNA from 1 species